GUGGAUUAGAUACCGAGUAGUCCACGCAGUAAACGAUGAAUACUAACUGUAUGCGAUAUACUGUAUGCGGUACAGCGAAAGCGUUAAGUAUUCCACCUGGGGAGUACGUUCGCAAGAAUGAAACUCAAAGGAAUUGACGGGGGCCCGCACAAGCGGAGGAACAUGUGGUUUAAUUCGAUGAUACGCGAGGAACCUUACCCGGGCUUGAAAUGCAGACGACCGAAGUGGAAACACUUCUUCCAGCAAUGGCGUCUGUGUAGGUGCUGCAUGGCUGUCGACAACU
rnacentral:rRNA from 1 species